UGUUUUCAUUAAUCAAGAACGAAAGUUAGGGGAUCGAAGACGAUCAGAUACCGUCGUAGUCUUAACCAUAAACGAUGCCGACCAGCGAUUAGGAGACGUUGAAUACAAAACACCACCAUCGGCGCGGCCGCCCUUGGCGUCUGUGCCCCUUUCACCGCUGGCAUGCGGCGACGGUUUAUUCCCCCGGUGGCACCGAUGGAUGCCUCCCCAGCAUCUUGUAAGAA
rnacentral:rRNA from 1 species